rnacentral:rRNA from 1 species
UACAGAGGGUGCAAGCGUUAAUCGGAAUUACUGGGCGUAAAGCGUGCGCAGAUGGUUGCGUAAGUCAGAUGUGAAAGCCCCGGGCUCAACCUGGGAGGUGCGCUUGAUACUCGAGGGCUUGAGUGCGGGAGAGGAGAGUGGAAUUCCCAGUGUAGAGGUGAAAUUCGUAGAUAUUGGGAAGAACACCGGUGGCGAAGGCGGCUCUCUGGACCGUAACUGACGCUGAGGCGCGAAAGCGUGGGGAGCAAACAGG